ACAAGGGCUAUAAAAGGGUCCAUACUGGGUAGUUUAUUCAGUUUAAAAAUAUCCACUGAUUUACAGACGUGUGUUUGCCAAUAUAAGUCAAUGGGAAAAAGUAUUUCUGCGCCGGGUGACGUCACGGACAGAUACGAAAGUUGAAGUACCGCUGUUUGGCCACUACCAAUAUUUUCCUCAGCGUCCAGCGGACUUCCUGGGGGCAUGUGUCGGACCAUAGACAUUUUAUAUCAUAGACGGAGCAUCGAACGCUGUGACGCAAGAAAUGCGGCUGCCAUCUUGGAAGUGUGGAUGGGGAGCCCGGGUGCAGCAUAAAUUGACAGUUGACAAGUAUGGCCAGGUAGCGUAGCGUCUACAGAAGCGAGAGAAGUAGAAUGCCAUGUCCAGAGAAAAGAGGGCAAAGACCACAGUGAAGGGUCUUUGGGGGGAUUUGAGGGAAAAUAACCUCAUUAAUGAAUAGCUCAGUGUGAAGCUUGCAUUCUACUCAGAUUUUAAGAUGAACUUCACGGCAGUGCAGGGCCAUGAGUACACACAGGACUGCAGAGAGUUUGCACUCACACUCCAUCUACAUGUUCCAAAGGCAUACAAAUACCUCAGAGAGACUCGACAUUUUCCCCUCCCACAUCCACAAACAUUACAAAGGUGGCUGCGUUCGGUGGAUGCCAAGCCUGGCCUGAACAAGAUGAUGCUGGAUAUGCUGGAAGAAGAUGCCAGGGUGACCCGGCUAAAUAUGGAUGUGUUUCACUCAUGUUGGAUGCCAUGUCCAUCAAAAAACAUGUGCAAUAUAAUCCACAUACCGAGUCAAUGUCUGGUUUUGUAGACAUGGGAGAUGGAAACAGUGAGACGGAUGUUGCUUCUGAGGCUCUUGUGUUGCCUUCAGUGUGUCUUGAACAACCACACAUAAAAGGUUGCACAUUUAUAUUAAUGUUGUGGAAUGCAUAUUUUAUCUUACUUGUCUAAAUGCAUACUUGACGGUAGAUAGAUUUAUGAGUGAAGUUACCAACACAAUAGAUUGGCCGUAACACACUCACCCAUUUUAGAAUAACAUUCUCUCUCUUUCUCUCUCUCACUCUCACUCACUCACUCACUCACUCACUCACUCACUCACUCACUCACUCACUCACUCACUCACUCACUCACUCACUCACUCACUCACUCACUUUCUCACAAACACACACACACACACACACACACACAGAGAAUGUUAACUUGUAUAUAUAUAACUUGUGUAUAAUUCCCAAUUUUUAUUGAUGUAUUUGCACUUUUUAAUCUUGCUGAAUUCUACAAGGCAAAUAAAUUCCCUGC